rnacentral:rRNA from 1 species
UCGGAUCAGGAUUGCCCUAGUAACGGCGAGUGAAGCGGCAACAGCUCAAAUUUGAAAUCUGGCCCUCUCAGGGUCCGAGUUGUAAUUUGCAGAGGGUGCUUUGGUGUUGGCUGUGGUCUAAGUUCCUUGGAACAGGACGUCACAGAGGGUGAGAAUCCCGUACGUGGCCGCCAGCCUCCACCGUGUAAAGCCCCUUCGACGAGUCGAGUUGUUUGGGAAUGCAGCUCUAAAUGGGAGGUAAAUUCCUUCUAAAGCUAAAUACUGGCCAGAGACCGAUAGCGCACAAGUAGAGUGAUCGAAAGAUGAAAAGCACUUUGGAAAGAGAGUCAAAAAGCACGUGAAAUUGUUGAAAGGGAAGCGCUUGCAGCCAGACUUGCCUGUAGUUGCUCACCUUGGCUUCUGCCUUGGGUACUCUUCUACGGGCAGGCCAGCAUCAGUCCGGGCGGUUGGAUAAAUGCUCGCGGAA